rnacentral:rRNA from 1 species
AUGCCGCGGUAAUACGGAGGAUGCGAGCGUUAUCCGGAUUUAUUGGGUUUAAAGGGUGCGUAGGCGGAUUAAUAAGUCAGUGGUGAAAACCUUCAGCUUAACUGGAGACUUGCCAUUGAUACUGUUAGUCUUGAGUACGGUCAAGGUAGGCGGAAUGCGUAAUGUAGCGGUGAAAUGCUUAGAUAUUACACAGAACACCGAUUGCGAAGGUAGCUUACUGGGCCAUUACUGACGCUGAGGCACGGAAGCGUGGGGAGCGAACAGGAUUAGAUACCCUGGUAGUCCACGCCGUAAACGAUGAUCACUCGCUGUUGGCGAUACACAGUCAGCGGCUAAGCAAAAGCAUUAAGUGAUCCACCUGGGGAGUACGGCCGCAAGGCUGAAACUCAAAGGAAUUGACGGGGGCCCGCACAAGCGGAGGAACAUGUGGUUUAAUUCGAUGAUACGCGAGGAACCUUACCUGGGCUUAAAUGUAGAGUGCAUGGGGCAGAAAUAUCCCUUUCCUUCGGGACUCUUUGCAAGGUGCUGCAUGGUUGUCGUCAGCUCGUGCCGUGAGGUGUCGGGUUAAGUCCCAUAACGAGCGCAACCCUUAUCGUUAGUUGCCAGCGGGUAAUGCCGGGAACUCUAACGAAACUGCCGGUGUAAACCGUGAGGAAGGUGGGGAUGACGUCAAAUCAGCACGGCCCUUAUGUCCAGGGCUACACACGUGUUACAAUGGCCGGUACAGAGGGCAGCUACCUGGAGACAGGAUGCGAAUCUCCAAAGCCGGUCUCAGUUCGGAUCGGAGUCUGCAACUCGACUCCGUGAAGCUGGAUUCGCUAGUAAUCGCGCAUCAGCCAUGGCGCGGUGAAUACGUUCCCGGGCCUUGUACACACCGC